AGCACCUCAAGUGGUCAGGAUGAUUAUUGGGCCUAAAGCAUCCGUAGCCGGCUUUGUUAGUUUUCGGUUAAAUCCAUAUGCUCAACAUAUGGGCCGCCGGGAAUACUACAAAGCUAGGGAGUGGGAGAGGUAGACGGUACUCCGUAGGAAGGGGUAAAAUCCUUUGAUCUAUGGAUGACCACCAGUGGCGAAGGCGGUCUACCAGAACACGUCCGACGGUGAGGGAUGAAAGCUGGGGGAGCAAACCGG
rnacentral:rRNA from 1 species